ACCUCAUCCAGAGGGGCUGAGGGAUACGGCCCGACGACGCCCCGGCAACCACCCGCACGCUCGACGACGAGUCGGAUCGCGGGCAGGUGCCAAUUCCGUCCCCGCCGCAGGGUGCGAUGCGGGGAAAGAUGAGAG
rnacentral:ncRNA from 2 species